rnacentral:rRNA from 1 species
CAGAGUUGAUCAUGGCUCAGGAUGAACGCUAGCGGCAGGCUUAACACAUGCAAGUCGAGGGGCAGCGGGGUGUAGCAAUGCACUGCCGGCGACCGGCGCACGGGUGCGUAACGCGUAUGCAACCUACCCAUAAUAGGGGCAUAACACUGAGAAAUUGGUACUAAUUCCCCAUAACAUUCGAAGAGGCAUCUCUUUGGGUUGAAAACUCCGGUGGUUAUGGAUGGGCAUGCGUUGUAUUAGC